AUUGGCGUGGGGGUGGGGAAUGGGACGAAAUAAGUGACCGUGACACUACGAUUUAGCGACCGCCUAUGAGUUUAGCAGCUCUCGCGUGUAGUUGCCGCCCUCUACUUUCAAUUCCACAACCCCGAGAGAAAAUCCCAGAAGCACACGCUCACAAGCUCGACGAUGGAGGCAGUGGUUGUAGAUGCUGGUUCUAAAAUCCUUAAAGCCGGUUUUGCGGUUCCCGACCACCCUCCUUCUAUGAUGAUUCCAACUCAGAUGAAAUGCCUGCCUGGAGAUGAGUCCUCUACUGAUGAUUCCUUGCAUGAGGUAAUUGUUGAUCCUGUUGUCCGAGGCUUUAUCAGCGACUGGGAUGCCAUGGAAGAUUUGUUAGACCAUGUUCUUUAUAAUGGUCUUGGAUGGGAAAUUGGAAACGAAGGGCAAAUUUUAUUUGCAGAUCCACUUUCAAAUCCGAAGGCUGCAAGAGAACAGUUGGUGCAGUUGAUGUUUGAACGGUUUAACAUCUCAGGCUUUUACGCAUCUGACCAAGCAGUAUUAUCACUUUAUGCAGUAGGACGCAUCUCAGGCUGCACUGUGGAUAUUGGACAUGGCAAGAUGGAUAUUGCAACUGUAAUUGAAGGUGCGGUUCAGCAGAUAUCUUCAAGAAGAUUUGAACUAGGUGGGUUGGAUUUGACGAACCUUCUUGCACAAGAACUUGGUAAAUCCAAUCCUCUUGUGAACCUUAGCAUAUCUGAUGUUGAGAAAAUAAAGGAGCAAUAUGCAUGUUGUGCUGAUGAUGACGAGGCUUAUGAGAAACUCCAGCUGUCAUGCCCAGAGGAGCAACACACACUACCUGAUGGACAGGUGAUAAAAAUUGGAAGAGAAAGAUAUACUGUUGGGGAGGCCUUAUUCCAACCAUCUAUUUUGGGUCUACAGGCACAUGGAGUCGUUGAACAGCUGGUUCAUUGUAUUUCAAAUGUGUCAUCCGAGAAUCACCGACAGCUGCUGGAAAAUACUGUACUUUGUGGUGGAACUGCUUCCAUGAGUGGUUUUGAAGAUAGAUUUCAGAAAGAAGCUAGUCUUUGCUCCUCAGCUAUUCGUCCUUGUGUUGUCAAGGGGCUAUGCAGUCCAGGUGAAAGUUAGAAAUAUUGCCACAUAGAUGACAGUAAGUGGUGACAACGAGAAGGCCUUUGAGAUAUCACCGAGCUUCCUAUCAAUCCCGGUGCUUUGGAUCCCAUUGGAUUUGAUUUGGAGAAUGAGCCUUAAAAUGAUCAUAUUGAUUCUCAUCCAAAAUAUUGGUGAUGCUCAUUUCCUUAAAGCAAUCUGAUGGAUAGAUUAAGGAGAACGGAGGAAGACUAGUAUCUAACCAUAAUCAAAAGCCUCCAGAAUAUAUGCCGGAGAAUUUAAGCAAGUUUUCUGCAUGGGUGGGAGGUGCAAUAAUAGCCAAAGUAGUGUUUCCUCAAAAUCAACAUGUGACCAAAGCAGAUUACGAUGAAACUGGGCCUUCUAUUGUUC